rnacentral:rRNA from 1 species
UACCUAGGGUGCAAGCGUUGUUCGGAAUUACUGGGCGUAAAGGGCGCGUAGGCGGCCUGGUAAGUAGGGGGUGAAAUCCUGCGGCUUAACCGCAGGGCUGCCUUCUAAACUGUCAGGCUCGAGCACAGUAGAGGCAGGUGGAAUUCCCGGUGUAGCGGUGGAAUGCGUAGAGAUCGGGAAGAACAUCAGUGGCGAAGGCGGCCUGCUGGGCUGUUGCUGACGCUGAGGCGCGACAGCGUGGGGAGCAAACAGG